rnacentral:rRNA from 1 species
UACGUAGGGUGCGAGCGUUGUCCGGAAUUACUGGGCGUAAAGAGCUCGUAGGCGGUUUGUCGCGUCGUCUGUGAAAUUCUGCAGCUUAACUGCAGGCGUGCAGGCGAUACGGGCAGACUUGAGUACUACAGGGGAGACUGGAAUUCCUGGUGUAGCGGUGAAAUGCGCAGAUAUCAGGAGGAACACCGGUGGCGAAGGCGGGUCUCUGGGUAGUUACUGACGCUGAGGAGCGAAAGCGUGGGGAGCAAACAGG